rnacentral:rRNA from 1 species
UACGGGGGGGCAAGCGUUGUUCGGAAUUACUGGGCGUAAAGGGCUCGUAGGCGGCCAACUAAGUCGGACGUGAAAUCCCUCGGCUUAACCGGGGAACUGCGUCCGAUACUGGAUGGCUUGAGUUUGGGAGAGGGAUGCGGAAUUCCAGGUGUAGCGGUGAAAUGCGUAGAUAUCUGGAGGAACACCGGUGGCGAAGGCGGCAUCCUGGACCAACACUGACGCUCAGGCACGAAAGCGUGGGGAGCAAACGGGG